rnacentral:rRNA from 1 species
AAAUUGAAGAGUUUGAUCAUGGCUCAGAUUGAACGCUGGCGGCAGGCCUAACACAUGCAAGUCGAACGGUAACAGGAAACAGCUUGCUGUUUCGCUGACGAGUGGCGGACGGGUGAGUAAUGUCUGGGAAACUGCCUGAUGGAGGGGGAUAACUACUGGAAACGGUAGCUAAUACCGCAUAACGUCGCAAGACCAAAGAGGGGGACCUUCGGGCCUCUUGCCAUCGGAUGUGCCCAGAUGGGAUUAGCUAGUAGGUGGGGUAACGGCUCACCAAGGCGACGAUCCCUAGCUGGUCUGAGAGGAUGACCAGCCACACUGGAACUGAGACACGGUCCAGACUCCUACGGGAGGCAGCAGUGGGGAAUAUUGCACAAUGGGCGCAAGCCUGAUGCAGCCAUGCCGCGUGUAUGAAGAAGGCCUUCGGGUUGUAAAGUACUUUCAGCGGGGAGGAAGGGAGUAAAGUUAAUACCUUUGCUCAUUGACGUUACCCGCAGAAGAAGCACCGGCUAACUCCGUGCCAGCAGCCGCGGUAAUACGGAGGGUGCAAGCGUUAAUCGGAAUUACUGGGCGUAAAGCGCACGCAGGCGGUUUGUUAAGUCAGAUGUGAAAUCCCCGGGCUCAACCUGGGAACUGCAUCUGAUACUGGCAAGCUUGAGUCUCGUAGAGGGGGGUAGAAUUCCAGGUGUAGCGGUGAAAUGCGUAGAGAUCUGGAGGAAUACCGGUGGCGAAGGCGGCCCCCUGGACGAAGACUGACGCUCAGGUGCGAAAGCGUGGGGAGCAAACAGGAUUAGAUACCCUGGUAGUCCACGCCGUAAACGAUGUCGACUUGGAGGUUGUGCCCUUGAGGCGUGGCUUCCGGAGCUAACGCGUUAAGUCGACCGCCUGGGGAGUACGGCCGCAAGGUUAAAACUCAAAUGAAUUGACGGGGGCCCGCACAAGCGGUGGAGCAUGUGGUUUAAUUCGAUGCAACGCGAAGAACCUUACCUGGUCUUGACAUCCACGGAAGUUUUCAGAGAUGAGAAUGUGCCUUCGGGAACCGUGAGACAGGUGCUGCAUGGCUGUCGUCAGCUCGUGUUGUGAAAUGUUGGGUUAAGUCCCGCAACGAGCGCAACCCUUAUCCUUUGUUGCCAGCGGUCCGGCCGGGAACUCAAAGGAGACUGCCAGUGAUAAACUGGAGGAAGGUGGGGAUGACGUCAAGUCAUCAUGGCCCUUACGACCAGGGCUACACACGUGCUACAAUGGCGCAUACAAAGAGAAGCGACCUCGCGAGAGCAAGCGGACCUCAUAAAGUGCGUCGUAGUCCGGAUUGGAGUCUGCAACUCGACUCCAUGAAGUCGGAAUCGCUAGUAAUCGUGGAUCAGAAUGCCACGGUGAAUACGUUCCCGGGCCUUGUACACACCGCCCGUCACACCAUGGGAGUGGGUUGCAAAAGAAGUAGGUAGCUUAACCUUCGGGAGGGCGCUUACCACUUUGUGAUUCAUGACUGGGGUGAAGUCGUAACAAGGUAACCGUAGGGGAACCUGCGGUUGGAUCACCUCCUUA